rnacentral:lncRNA from 1 species
AGGGGAGCAGCUGCUCUGUCCUAUAAGGUGGCGUAAGUAUGGAGAACAGGCCCAGACUCUUCCUAACAGCCCACGGGAGCCAGCAGGAGCCAGCAGGAGGCCAGUGGGGAUGGAGAGAGGAUGGCACAAAGGGACGGCAAGGUCCGGCAGGGGUUGGGAACACUGAGGCAGCCGCAGACUCUACAAGGUCUCCAGGUCCAGAGCGUGGACCCUCUGAAGUCAGUCCUUCCUCCACAGUUUCUGUCUGAAAUCCUGCUCCACGUUGUGUUCGGCUUUCACGUGGCACACGCCUCUCCUUGCUGGACACGCCAGCCAGGCUUUGUCAUUUCAUCCUAUCUUUUUUGUCAGCUCAUGACAGUAACAGCAGUGUCACUCCAAAACAACCUUGGCAUUCACACCAGCACCUAUCUGGGCACCAAAAUCUCGAGGUGACACUUGGCUUUGAGGCCAGCCUCCCACAUCUUUCAGAGCAUGCUCCAUGAGUGACCUGAAUCUGCCUGCUGACAUCCUCAGGUGGAAUAUGCCACCAGGGUCCCUUCUCCAGCCCCACCACACUGCGGCCCACUCCUUCCAGGCACCCCGGAACACUGUCCGACAG